AAGACUGUAUUUUCAGGAAUCAUUUCUACAGAUUUUUACUUGAAAAUGUGUUUUAAAAGUGGUUGUGUCCCAACCCAUGACGAUGAGCUGUAAUGCUUCUUUCUGAGAGUGAAUCAAGAGCAGAACUGUGGUUGUAGUCACUAUAUGUCGUUGAAAAGCAUUCAUAUUGUUUCUGGCAGUAUUGGAGAAGAGUAUGAUCUGAGUGGU
rnacentral:snoRNA from 1 species